rnacentral:rRNA from 1 species
AGCGAACGCUGGCGGCAGGCCUAACACAUGCGAGUCGAACGAAGCCUUCGGGCUUAGUGGCGGACGGGUGAGUAACACGUGGGAACGUACCUUUUGGUUCGGAAUAACGCAGAGAAAUUUGCGCUAAUACCGAAUGAGCCCUUAGGGGGAAAGAUUUAUCGCCGAAAGAUCGGCCCGCGUUGGAUUAGGUAGUUGGUGUGGUAAAGGCGCACCAAGCCUACGAUCCAUAGCUGGUCUGAGAGGAUGAUCAGCCACACUGGGACUGAGACACGGCCCAGACUCCUACGGGAGGCAGCAGUGGGGAAUCUUGCGCAAUGGGCGAAAGCCUGACGCAGCCAUGCCGCGCGAAUGAUGAAGGUCUUAGGAUUGUAAAAUUCUUUUACCAGGGACGAUAAUGACGGUACCUGGAGAAAAAGCCCCGGCUAACUUCGUGCCAGCAGCCGCGGUAAUAC